GGAAUUUGCCUUGAUUUGAGUGGGAGCUCGACCUCGCCUCAUUGUGGACAAUUUAUCAAAUAUUUACAAGGUGGAUCUGGGAUUGUGUGCGGUAACAGCUGCUGCUCGACCUGGAUUUCAAGGAGACAUUAGGUUGUUACUCUAAGGCAACGUCCUGGAUUAAUACCUGACAGGUAUUGAAGGAGCGGCGUGUGGAGGUGAGGUGGUUGGUACAUCCUGGAGCUCGAUCUGGGUGGACGAAUGCUGCCCCAGAUUAUUGGUGUUGAAACCCAUGGAGGAUAUGCUGCCGGGCUCGCGACUUCUUGGGGUCUCUGCCUCGUCGUCCACUGGAGUGGGGGUGCUGGAUGGAGUGUC